rnacentral:lncRNA from 1 species
CAACCAGAGGCAAGAAAGCUUGAAUCAAAUGUUUGCGCUUUGUUAAGCAGAGGAUCUUGAUAUUUUCACAGAGAAGAAUUGCAAGCACUUGCAACCCAGAUGAGAAUUUCCUGAGAAGGAAUGCAAGAGGCUUUCCCAACCCGCUCCCACCAGCAGGGUGGUGCAGCUCAGGGUCCAGGGUACUGUUGCUGAGCAUCUGUUAGUGCGGAGUUACCAUGCCUUCUUGUUUGCUGUUGUCAGCGGUGAGGAAUGUAGAGGCAAUUGAACAGUAAGCAUAAGAAACUACCAGGUGAGUCUCAGUUGG